CUUUUUCAUUUUCUUUCUUCUUCUUCUACAGACCACGUUCUCUAUCUUUCUUUUCUAAUUCUCCUUUCUUUUCAUUUUCUUUCUUUUGCUGCAGCAGACCCAUUUCUCUAUUCUUCUUCUUAUGUCUCAAAUUUUCUUUCUUGUUGCAGCAACAACCUGCCACCGUUCCUUCUCAUCAUCCCCACCAUUUCUACUUAUUUCUUCUCAUCACCACCAUAACAACCAAGGAGCCAACACCACCUCACCAUAUAUCAUGUUCUUCUUCCUCCUUCAAUCAAAGACAAACCACCACUGUCCAUUCUUCUCCUUCUCCUCUCUAUGGCCUCAAAAGGAGCAGCACCCACACGCACCACAUGAGCCACCACCUUCACGUUUUCUUCUCCUCCAUGGCUGGCCAAACGCACCACAAACCUCUGUCCUUCUUCCUCACGUAGCUCCUUUGGACAGCCACGAUGGCCACCAAUCUGCCCCUUUGAGAACCACCAUCACCUUCAUCUUCCAAUUUUAUGGGUACGAAUAACGGAAGCGCCUUGCAUCGGAGCUACACGAUAGAAGGAAGCGAGUCGACGGACAAAAGCAAGGAUGUGAUUGGAUUGGAGUUGCAGUUUAGGCAGGAAAUUGGCUAAGGCGAUGGAGGACUAUUGAUGAAGUCGGACCUUUGUACGAGUCAAAGACGAGGACUUGAAGAAUUGUGGAGGACUCGAAGAUUAGAGUCGGGUUUAAGGCUAGAGCCUUGGGUUAGAGAGCUUACCGUUAUGGGUUUAAGCUUGCUUAAUGAUUUCAUUAAUAUAUAUUUGAGGUUUGGGUAAGUUCCGGUGCAUUGUUUCCCUGCGGUCCUUCGAUGUAGUUUGAUUUACAGUUGGGAGUAUGCAUGACAUAUUUUGGAAAUACUUUUAAAAAGAAAAAAAUAAUACUCGUGUUUGUAUAUCAUUUUGGAAAACAUUGCAUAUUUAUUUUAUCUGGUUACUAAGGUGACUCCCGAAAUUCGGGGCGUUACAUAGUGUGUGCAAGUUGACCCAAAUCGUCUCUUCGCAUCAAUCAUUGCCUCACUUUGUCAUUAUCAUGAUUAAUUUUCUCUUCCCCUAAACCAUGAUCACAACCUGCUCU